GCGACCCUAGGUCAGGCAGGAUUACCUGCUGAGUUUAAGCAUAUCAAUAAGUGGGGGAAAAGAAACUUACAAGGAUUCCCUUAGUAACGGCGUGCAAAUCAGGAACAACCCAGCCUUAGAAUCGGGCAACUUCAUCGUCCGAAUUAUAGUUUUGAGAAGCAUCCUCAGCGGUAGACUGGGCCCAAGUCCCCUGGAAUAGGGCGCCAGAGAAGGUUAGAGCCCCAUUUUGCCCGGACCCUACCGCACAAUGAGGCACUGUGUACGAGUUAGGUUGUUUGGGAAUGCAUCCCAAAUCGGGUAGUGAAUUCUGUCCAAAGCUAAAUACGAGCGACAGACCGAUAGCGAAAAAGUACCGUGAGGGAAAGAUGAAAAGGACUUUUAAAAGAGAGUCAAAGAGUUCUUGAAAUUAUCGGGAGGGAAGCGGAUGGGGACCGGCGAUGCACCCCAGUUGGAUAUGGAAUGGGGACGAGCCGGUUCGUCGAUCGACUAGGGGCACGGACCAGCGUGGAUUGGGGGGCAUCCAAAGCUCGGGCUCUUGAUACGCUCGUGGAACGCUGUCCUAUCGAUUGUGGCAGGCAGCUCCGGCAUGCUUCGACAUCUGCGAGCUAUGGAUUCUGGCCUGUAGGAUCCCCCAUUCAACCCGUCUUGAAAAAUGGACCAAGGAGUUUGACAUGUGUGUGAGUCAACGGGCGAGUAAACCCGUAAGGCGUAAGGAAACUAAUUGGUGGUAUCCCCCCAAGGGGUGCACCACCGACUGACCUUGAUCUUCAGAGAAGGGUUUGAGUGUGAGCAUACCUGUUGGGACCACAAAAAUAGUGAACUAUGCCUGAGCGGGGCGAAGCCAGAGGAAACUCUGGUGGAGGCCCGCAGCGAUACUGACAUGCAAAUCGUUUGUCUGACUUGGGUGUACGUCUUGCGACUGCUUUGUCGAUCCGUGCCACGGAAUCAAGAGCUCCAAGUAGGCCAUUUUUGGUAAGCAGAACUGGCGAUGCGGGAUGAACCAAAAGCCGGGUUACUGUGCUAAACUGUGCGCUAACCUAGACCCCACAAAGGGUGUUGGUCGAUUAAGACAGCAGGAUGGUGUUCAUGGAAGUAAAAAUCCACCAUGGAGUGUGGAACAACUCACCAGCCGAAUAAACAAGACCCAAAAAUGGAUGGCACUUAAGCGCGUGACCUAUACCCGGCCGUCGGGGAAAGUUCCAUGCCCCGAUGAGUAGGAGGCCAUCGGUGCAGAUAUAGGUGAUAGUAGCAAAUAUUCAAAUGAAAACUUUGAAGGCUGAAGAGGGGAAUGGUUCCGUGUGAAUGGCACUUGCACAUGGGUUAGUCGAUCCUAAGGGUCGGGAAAACCACGACAGAUAGCGUAUUUCACGCGUACUCCGAAAAGAAAUCAGGUUAAAAUUUAUGGACCAGGACGUGGCGGUCAACGACAAUGUUAGGAAGUUUGGAGCCGUCAGCAGGAGCCUCAGGAAGAGUUAUCUUUUUUGUUAAAUAGCCUGCCCACCCUGGAAUCAGCUCAACUGGAGGUAGGGUCCAGAGGCUGGAAGAGCACUGCACAUCUCCUGGUGUCCGAUGCACUUCUGGAAGCCCUUGAAAAUCCAAAUGACCGAAUGUUAUCCACACAUGGUUUUCAUCAUAUCCACAUCAAGUCUCCAAGGGUAACAACCUCUGGUUAAUGGAACAAUGUAGGCAAGGGAAGUCUGCAAAAUGGAUCCGUAACUUCUAGAAAAUGAUUGGCAUUGAGGGCUGGGAAUGGGGGUCCCAGUCCUGAACCCAUCGGCUGUCGGUGGACUACUCGAGCUGUUCUUACAGUAUGAGCGGGUCACCACAUGCCGGUUGGGGGAAAGAUUGGGAACGGUUCCUUCGGGGGCCUUCCCCGCGCGUCAAACAGCCAGCUCAAAACUGGUACGAACAAGGGGAAUCCGACUGUUUAAUUAAAACAAAGGAUUAUGAUGGUCACAACGGAUGUUCAUGCAUUGUCAUUUCUUCCCAGUGCUCUGAAUGUCAAAGUGAAGAAAUUUAACCAAGUGCGGGUAAACGGAAGGAGAACUAUGACUCUCUUAAGGUAGCCAAAUGCCUCGUCAUCUAAUUAGUGAUGCGCAUGAAUGGAUUAACGAGAUUCCCACUAUCCCUGUCUACUAUCUAGCGAAACAAUAGCCAAGGGAAUAGGCUUGGCAGAAUCAGCNCUUUGUGAAAUGACUUGAGAGGUGUAGUAUAAGUGGGAGCCGAAAGGCGAAAGUGAAAUACCACUACUUUUAACAUUAUUUUACUUAUUUUGUGAGUCAAAAGCGGAGCACUGCCCCUCUUUUUGGACCCAAGGGUCGCUCUGCGGGCCGAUCCAGGCGGAAGACAUUGUCAAGUGGGGAGUUUGGCUGGGGCGGCACAUCUGUUAAAAGAUAACGCAGGUGUCCUAAGAUGAGCUCAAAGAGAAUAGAAAUAUCGUGAGGAACAGAAGGGUAAAAGCUCGUUUGAUUCUGAUUUCCAGUACGAAUACGAACCAUCAAAGUGUGGCUUAACGAUUCUUUAGACCUUCAAAAUUCAAAGCUAGAGGUGUCAGAAAAGUGUUACCACGGGGAUAACUAGCCUGUUGCAGCCAAGCGUUUAUAGCGACAUUGCUUUUUCAUUCUUCGAUGUCGUCUCUUCCUAUCAUUAUGAAGCAGAAUUCACCAAGUGUUGUACUGUUCACCCACCAAUAGGGAAUGUUAGCUGGGUUUAGAUUGUCGUGAGACAGGUUAGUUUUACCCUACUUAUGACAGUGUCGUAGUAGUAAUUCAACCUAGUACGAGAGCAAAUGUUGAUUCACAUAAUUUUUCAUCACGCUUGGUUGAAAAGCCAGUGGCAUAAAGCUACCAUGUGCUGGAUUAUGACUGAGCGCCUCUAAGUCAGAAUCUAGGCUAGAAGUGAUGCAUGCGCCCGCUGUCCGCUUGCCGACCCGCAGUAGAGGCCUCAUCCCCCAAGGGCACGUGUCGUUUGCUAAGCCACCGCGGCGGAAGAGUCAUGUUAGACACCUUGAAGUAUAAUUUCCAUCGAUCGGCGGGUAGACU
rnacentral:rRNA from 1 species